AAUCAUAGAUUCCACUUUUUUUUAAACAAUGGCGACGAAAAAUGAGUGCACUUCAUACUUGAAAAGGAAGAGCCACGCUGAGAAUAAUGCAGCUCUGCCUAAUAGCUGUACCUGAUGUUAAGCGAAGUAGAGUCCCAAGGAAGUGCCGACCGGCAAAAGACACAGGUAUACACACAGUUAUGCCGGCUUGAAGAAUUGCUUCUUCACGCUCCUCUUGAAGACCCCAAGUUAUAGGAAGACAGUGCUCAACUGGAUACAACGUUUUGCUAAGGUCACGCCAGAUGUCGUUCUCGUAGCAAAUUUACGCAGCCCUAACUAAUGAUGUGGAUGGGUUGACCUGGCCGACAGAAUGCGGUUAAGCGCCGCCGACUCGCAAUUUUCUACACCCGACUUGAUUCAAUAAGCAGAGCGAAAUAAAAUUAUGUUAAUAACUUUUUAGCUCGUAUUUAUGGACUCGGCCGUAAAUAGCGCAAUAUUGAAAUGCGAAAAUGAAUUAAAUCUGAACCUAGUUGGUCUCAAAUUCAAUAAGGAAUUGGCGGGAGUGGACUUUGAAGUUAUCAGUGCUGUAUGCUAUAUUUUAUGUUGAA